rnacentral:rRNA from 1 species
CUUGGUCAUUUAGAGGAAGUAAAAGUCGUAACAAGGUCUCCGUUGGUGAGCCAGCGGAGGGAUCAUUACCGAGUUUACAACUCCCAAACCCAUGUGAACAUUACCUCUAUGUUGCUUCGGCGGAGCCGCCCCGGCGCCCGGAACCCCCUGCGGUCCCGCGGCCCGGAACCAAGGCGCCCGCCGGAGGCCACAAACUCUUCUGUUUUUACAGUUUCUUCUGAGUGUGCCGCAAGGCAGUAUACAAAUGAAUCAAAACUUUCAACAACGGAUCUCUUGGUUCUGGCAUCGAUGAAGAACGCAGCGAAAUGCGAUAAGUAAUGUGAAUUGCAGAAUUCAGUGAAUCAUCGAAUCUUUGAACGCACAUUGCGCCCGCCAGAAUUCUGGCGGGCAUGCCUGUUCGAGCGUCAUUUCAACCCUCGAGCUCCCCUUUCGGGGGGAGCCCGGCGUUGGGGACCCGGCGCUAACAACGCCGGCCCCGAAAUGGAGUGGCGGCCCGUCCGCGGCGACCCCUGCGUAGUAACAACCACUCGCACCGGGACCCGGGCGCGGCCACGCCGUAAAACACCCCACCUUCCGAAUGUUGACCUCGAAUCAGGUAGGAAUACCCGCUGAACUUAAGCAUAUCAAUAAGCGGAGGA